rnacentral:ncRNA from 2 species
AUAACUGGCUUGUGACAGCCAAGUGUUCAUAGCGACGUUGCAUUUUGAUCCUUAGAUGUCGGCUCUUUCUAUCAUUGUGAAGCAGAAUUCACCAAGUGUUGGAUUGUUCUUCCACCAAUAUGGAACGUGAGAUGGGUUUAGGUCGUAAUGAGACAGGUU